UUUAAACGUUUAACAGUUUAAAAACAGCACAUGUCCCAGCCCUCUAUAGACCCACUGCUGUUCACACAUCAGAGCUCCUCUAACUGUGCAUGACAGGAUUUGUAUAGAGGAAGGGGCUUUGCAUACCUGUCCUGCCUCACUGCUCCACACACUUUAAGACCCCCAGUACUGAUCAGUGAUUGUCCAGUCCUUUCACAGACACUGACACAGGCAGCAUUAUGAUGAUGUCAAACUUUCUACUGCUGGUGAUGCUGGGACUCCUUGUACAGGGAUCAAUGGCAGAUAAAGUUCUGACUCAGGGUCCAGCAGCUCGGUCUGUUCAGCUGGGAGAGACUGUCUCCAUCAGCUGUACAGCCAGUGAGAGUGUGAGCAACUGGCUCAACUGGUACCUGCAGAAACCUGGUCAGGCUCCUAAACUUCUGAUUUAUUAUGCCACAACUCGCCAGACUGGGAUUCCUGAUCGUUUCAGUGGGAGUGGAUACGGUACUCAGUUCACACUGAAAAUCACUGGAGUCCAGGCUGAAGAUGCAGGAGAUUAUUACUGUCAGCAGGACGAUAGCACGCCGUUCACACAGUGUUAGAGAGCCGUACAAAAACCUCCCUCAGUCAGACUGCACAGAGACUGCACUGCUGCAGCUGGGACCUACUGCAGGUGCUGAGGGGGGAGGGCACUGGUCUGGGACAGCAGUACUGCCAACUGGGCUGUAGGGGGCAACAAUGAGCCACAGCUCUGAAUGCACACCUCUCUGUGCUGAAGAGGAGCUGCUCUGUCACACACACUGAGCGCAUAGCAGAGCUGCUGCUGAACCACACACACUACUGUACCACAACAUCACAGGCAUCACACAGUACAUCAGCUCACAAGCAGCAAUCAUCUCCAUAUUGCUCUGGAGUUCAGACACAUGCAGAGGAUGUGUACAUUCUCCCAGAGGUGGAAUGAGUUGGGUUUCAAAUGAAUUGCUUCCCGAAACGGUAUUAUGACUAUGUAUUCAAUACAUACAUGAUAAUUUAUUAUUAAUGGUGCGUCUAUUCUGGUGGAAUCCUGGUUUCAUCACAGCUGUGCUGUACUGAAUCACAUAAUCUGAUUUUAUUGUUUUCUGAGAUAUUAUUUUUUUGAUUUCCCUGAUCAUCAUUUUUGUGAUAAUCAGUGAAUAUGGUCAUGGUGCAAUUGUGUCACUCAAGCGAUUGAUUACAAAGCAUAUUUCCUUUUGUGUUUACCAAGCAUUAAAGUCGCAAAUAUAAUAA